GGAUUUUAUAAUUUACUAAUUUAUAAGGGGUUAAAUUUUAUUUAACACUAAAUUUAGUCUGUUUUAAAAAAUUUGCACCAAAAAUCCGGACCGCCAAAAAUCAAAACCCCUUUAUUAGCUUAAAGCAUAAAAGCUAGCGAAAUCAAUUUCUCCCUGAAUUAUCAAAACGAAAAUCAGUUUCUCUCUCUCUCUGUUUGUCUCAUGGAAGCAAUCGUGAAGUUAUCGCACCUCUCCGAUUCGGUGCCGCUGCUGUUAGAGCUGCUCCCCGGUGAAGAUGUGGAUGAUACGCCGUCGUGGAAGGAUGCAGUAGCGGAAGAACUCACUUUCCUCAACGUUGUUUCUCUCGGCGAUACUGUAAGUAUGACUGAUUAUACAGUUAUUUACGGAGUAUGCGUGCUUGAUCGCAUCAUUUGUAUGAGUUAUGUUGAUAUGUAUGUAUAUACGUUUGGUAUAUUGUAUUUUAGGCAGUUUGUUCUGUAUGGCAACUUAGAAUUGUGUAUGAUUUAGGUUUUUUUACGGGUGAUAUUAGUGUAUUUUAGGCAGUUUGUCUGUAUGGCAACUUAGAAUGUAGAAUUGUGUAUGAUUUAGGGUUUUUGACGGUGUAUUUUAGGCAGUUUGUUCUGUAUGGCAACUUAGAAUUGUGUAUGACUUAGGGUUUUUUACGGGUGAUAUUAUUGUAUUUUAGGCAGUUUGUUCUGUAUGGUAUACAAAGAGUGUUGAUGAACUAUAGUUCUUCCCAUUUAUGCCUAUUUAAAGAGUGUUAAUGGAGGAACAAUAGGUUGGUGAAUAUUGUUUUGGCCCUAAGAUUUUCCAAAUAAAUCAGUCUUUUGCUUUGUUUUUCUGCUGUUUACUAGUACAUUGGAUGAAGAUUAUGACAGCCUUGUGUUCUGAAGAGACGACGAGACCGAUAUCCCCUGAUAUAGACAAUCUGUAAAUAAAAAUUGAUACAAGAUUGCUUUUCGAUUAAGUAUUUGAUCCGUUCAUUUUUUUCUAUGUUAUAUGAAACAAUAUGUUACAAGAAAUCGGGUUUAUUGCGAAUGGUGGUGCGCGGGCAUGUGGAUUGAAAUUGUUCAAUUCGAUCCACCAUCCUAUGUUGGUGCAGGUAAGUCUGCGGUGUUGAAUAGUCUGAUUGGGCAUCCUGUAUUGGUAAUUAUGCUUGUUUUUAGAUUCUUUAUUGAAUUACCUGUCCCAACUUUGACAUUUUUCCGAGUGACAACUACUUUCUCAUUACGGUACCCUUUCAUUUCACAGCCAACAGGUGUAGGUGGUGCAACACGUGCUCCGACAUAUGUUGAUUUGAUAUGGAGUAGGUUGCUAGAUAUGGAAACCAUCGUUACGCACAAUACAGAGUCAGAAUCAGAAGAAAGUUGUCCAUGUGAGGCCUCUAAAUGAACCUUAAUUUUAGAGUGUAAGAAUCAAUUUAGGCACACUAUUCCCUAUCAACUAUUUGUGAAUGCGAAAUAUGUUUGCCACUUGGUUAUGGUUAUCUCACUAUGCUGAUUUUUUUUAUCUUCUUAUAUGUAUUGCCUGUUUCAGGGUUUCUUCAGGAAUCUAUAAGAACGAAUUGGCGCGAACAUGGGCAGAAAAUUUUCAAGUUUAGUACAAGUACAGGUGUGUUUCCUACUGUUGCUUCAAUUUACUACACUGGCUAAUAGGUUCUGACCUUUGUUUACGUUUUCGAGUUUACCUGCAUAUCCAAGAUAUUGCAAAAUCUCAGGAAAACAAAGUUCUACUCAUGCAGUAAAAAAGAUUAUUGAAAUAAAUUUUACACUCAGUAUCUUAUGACGUCAUCAUCAUUCUUCAUGGAGGUGAAAAAUCCAUGAUGUACCAUUAUUGCAAAGACAAGUUACUUUUAGGUUUUACGGAUACUUAAAAAGACUGAUUAGAUGGUGAGCAGCAUGGCAAUUUUUUUUCCCUGAAUACUGUAAAACUAUUUGUGACUUACUUUUACUUCAUCACGUAUGUUUCUCACAUUAUAUGAAACUAUAUACUGUUUCGUUAUCACACAACAAUAAAACGUUUUGCCAUUUGUAUAGCUGUCUAAGAUUUGAUAUCCAUCUUUUGCAGCUCCACCAUUAAAAUUGGCUGAUAUGCCUGGUGUAGACAAUUUGAAUCUUGAUCGUUCAUUGGUAAGGGGCUUCUCAACAGCAAUAAAACAAGUCUAUUUCUCAUAAUGUGUCUGACAGUAGUGUAAAAUUAGCAAUCCCUAAACUAUUUGUCAUAUUCGAAAAGUUGUGACCGUUACUUGAAACUAGUUCUCAAUAGGAUUAAUUCAAGCUAAACAGGUUUCGGUUGAAACUGAAAUUGAGAUAGAUUGUACACAUUGUAGAUGAGAUUGAUAUACAACUAAACUCAUUCUGGAUUGUUAAAUGUUGCGGUCUUCCGAAAUGUUGCUAAACUUCUACCCUUUGGACCUUGACUGAACUAGUAGUAAUAGCUGUGAAUUUGGAUCUGGUACCACAACGUAUAAUCUUCAGUAGUGUGAUAGGUUAUUUAUUAUUUGCAGAAAGAGUACGCUGAACCCAGUAAUGCGAUUUUGCUGGUUGUAAUACCUGCUGAUCAAGCUCUAAAUGUGCUCUCAGCUCAGGCUAUCCAAAUUGCAAAGAAACUCGAUGCAGAAGGUGGGUUUGCAAUAUCCAUUUUAUCUUUGUUUGUGAAUUUUAAAUAGAUAGUGAUUAUUUUCUGAUUGUUUUUGUUGAUGUGUGUGUGUGUGUGUGUGUGUGUGUGUGUGUGUGUGUGUGUGUGUGUACAUGAAUAACAUGUAUUAGCUAUUGUUACGCAGGUGCGAGAACUGUUGGUGUGAUUACCAAUAUAGAUCGAGCAAAAUCAGUACCAAAUGUCCUCAUUGCUGUGAAGUGUCUAUUGUUAAAUAAUGGACCUGCAAGUAUAUCGAACAUUCCAUGGGUUGCUAUGGUUGAAUGUGUAACUCUGCAUGGACAUGACAAAUCUUUGGAAACUAAAAUUGCUUGGGAAAACGAGUAUAAUAGUUUGAAACGUAUUUUGGAAGGAGUCCCGGAAAGCAAACUUGGGAGGUUUGCAUUAGUCGAAACUCUUGCUCAAAAGAUUCGGCAACGAAUGGAAUUUCGCCUCCGAAACUUGUCUACGGGUACGGCUUCUCUCAAGAAAGAAGAGACGGGAACACAAUCUUCUAAUAAGUUGUUGAAGAUGGGGUUUGUAGGAGUUGCGGUUUUCGUACUUGGGGGAGGUAUAUGUUGGUAUAUGGGCUACGAGAGCGUGGUGUCGACCCGGUUUCUUCUCACGGGUUUGGUGGGAUAUGGCUUGUCGUUUCUCAAGGAAGUACAUUCGACUGGAAUGAUGGCGAAAGACCUGUCAAAGCUGAAAUCCACAUUUUGGAAUAAGAAGAAGAAUCAGUAGAAUUGUAAUAUGAGAUACUCAUUUUUUAGCUUUCACAUUUUCUUUACCAAAUAAAAAAUGUCUAUGUGGUCCACGUCACUAAACCCACAUAUUGUAAAUGGUUCAAUUCAAUUUUUCGAAUUUUGAAAAAAUCGGAUUUCCGUCGAUUAGAAUUUACAUGGGAUUCCAAUUUACUAUACUAUCUUAGUUCCCAAAUUCGAAUUAAUUUUUCCCUUUAACACAUUAAUUUUUCGAAAUUACAUCACUUCUGUUAUUUUGGUUACGGCUUAUUUUUAUUUUUAUUAUUUUUUAAUGGGUAAAUUACACCCACACCCCUGAGAUAUGCUUAAAU